UACGAAGGGGGCUAGCGUUGCUCGGAAUCACUGGGCGUAAAGCGCACGUAGGCGGGUCUUUAAGUCAGGGGUGAAAUCCUGGAGCUCAACUCCAGAACUGCCUUUGAUACUGAAGAUCUUGAGUUCGGGAGAGGUGAGUGGAACUGCGAGUGUAGAGGUGAAAUUCGUAGAUAUUCGCAAGAACACCAGUGGCGAAGGCGGCUCACUGGCCCGAUACUGACGCUGAGGCACGAAAGCGUGGGGAGCAAACAGG
rnacentral:rRNA from 1 species